rnacentral:antisense_RNA from 1 species
AUCAAUGGGCGGGCCUUGGCAGGGAGACGCGCAAGCGUCUGCCGGUUUGGUGUUGCACCCGGUCCGCCAACCUUGUCAAUGUGCCCGCUCACCCGC